GGGGUUGUGGCUCAGUGGUAGAGCACUUGCCUAGCACAUGCGAGGCCCUGGGUUCAAUCCUCAGCACCACCU
rnacentral:tRNA from 1 species